ensembl:lncRNA
GCCAAACAAAUCAUCAUGGACAUCAACCACCAGAGCCACUGCCUGUUCACACCGCGACCAUCCAGAAGGCGAGUUUUUUGCACCCUCUGUCACUCCCCUCCCCUUCUUUUAGAGGCUUCCUUGCCAAUGGAGGUAUAUCCACGGAGGAACCAAGGUCUGGUAGGUAAACACAAAGAUAAGGCAAGCAGUCUAGCUCAGAGGAACGUGAUGCUGUCUCCUCCUGCAUGCACUUCAAUUGGCUGUGCCUGAGAGGAUUUUGGGUGAGACGCAGCAGUUCCAUAUUCUCCAUCAGUCUCCAAGGCACCUGUGGGGAAUCCUGAGAAAGAACAACAAAACAAAACCAGGUAGCAUAGCAACAAAAGACGGAGCAUCAGAGAGAGCCACUCGCUUCAGUCAACUCCUGACUGGGGUUCUCAUUUGAGCUUACAUUUAUUUAUCCUACCCCCUUCUGUGAAGUUUAGAAAUAAGCAGUCACCUUGAAUGUUCAACCUUAAAGGAGCAAUCUGGAGCAAGCUAUAAAUGAACAAACUGCCUUGUUAAUGUUUUAAAACCUCUUAAGGAUCCAACUUAAAAAUAAAAAAAAUUGGUCUAAAAUGACAUAGCCAAAUCUAACUGCCUG